UAUCUCCAGUCACACCAAUGCAACCCUAUUCUCGAUCUCUCCCUCUCUCUCCCGCUCCCUCACUCCCUCAAUCCCUGGUUCAGGAUCUCUCUAGCUCCCACUCCCACACUCCCUCUAUCAUUACCUCUUGAUCCCUCUCCCGUUCCCUCCCUCUUUAUCUCACUCCCUCUAUCUCUCUAUCUCUCUCGCUCCCUCUUGAUCUCUCUCCCUAUCACUACAAGAAAAAUAGAGCCCUAAUUACCCGUUCUGUCUCUCUCUAACCAGCCUCACUUUACAUUUUUGCUCGGUAGGUAUAUAGUAUUUGCAGAGCAGAGCUUCUCAGAAGUGAAAGGGUUAUUUCAAGGGUUAGGGUUUUUUUAGGGUUUUGAUCCAUUCUCUUUCAGAGCAACUCCAAUUUUAGGGUUUCGAUCUCUGCAACACUCUCCUCAUCUCUCUCUCUCUCUCUCUCUCUCUCUCUCUCUCUCUCUCUCUCUCUCUCUCUCUCUCUCUCUCUCUUGUUUCGGAGUUAGAUUCUAGAACUCUUAGCAGUGAGAAUGGGGUUCCAGAUGCAGCCGUACAGAGUACAAGCGAUGCUGAAAGAAGGCCACAAGCAUCUCUCUGGCAUCGACGAAGCGGUCCUCAAGAACAUUGAUGCUUGCAAGCAGCUCUCCACCAUUACCUAAACUUUGCUCAGACCGAACGGUAUGAAUAAGAUGGUCAUUAAUCAUUUGGACAAACUCUUUGUUACAAAUGAUGCUGCAACUAUUGUGAAAGAACUUGAGGUACAACAUCCUACUGCUAAGAUCUCAUGUAAGUAGGCAAAGCUCAACAGGAAGAAAUUGGUGAUGGAGCUAAUCUGACGAUAUCUUUUGCUGGGGAGCUUCUCCAAAAUGCGGAGGAGCUAAUUAGGAUGGGAUUGCAUCCAAGUGAAAUCAUUAGUGGCUACACAAAAGUGAUCAAUAAGGUCCUUCAUUUCUUUGCUGAAUGACCUGUCAAACUGUAUUUUAAGCCUUUUGCUCAUUAGGCAUUGUGCAUAUGCUGAUUUCUGCUCUGUUGAUGCCUAGACGGUCGAUAUUUUAGAUGAGUAGGUUGAAAGGGGCUCAGAAACAAUGGAUGUGUGGAACAAGGAUGAAGUUGUUUCCCAAAUGAAAGCUAUUGUGGCCAGCAAGCAGUUCGUACAAGAAGAUAUUUUGUGCCCUCUUAUUGCGGAUGUGUGUACAUGGAUGUUGGUGUUUAUUUAUUAAUAUUAUUUUUGGUCCCUUGGUUUUGAGAAAAAUUCAAAAGCUGGACUUCUUUUAUAUUACAGGCAUGCAUCCAGGUCAGCCCCAAGAACCUAGUGAACUUUAAUGUAGAUAAUGUUCAUGUCGUAAAGCUUCUUGGAGGAGGUCUGCAUAACUGUUCAAUUGUUCGUGGCAUGGUCCUGAAAACUGAUGUUGUUGGAAGUAUAAAACAAAUGGAAAAUGCAAGGAGGUACAAGGCUUAUAGCCAUGACACCAUUGUCCUGGCUAGAGCUGAGUAUGGAAGUGGAAGCUCUCAAGGUUGGGUUGCCAAGGUUCCAAUGUUGUUGAUGCCAUUAAUGCAAUAAAUGGAACAAUCAUUACUUAUGGACAGGCAUAGGUGGACUGGUAGAUAUAAAGCCCAUCUAUGGGACAACAGCUGCAAGAAGGAAGGCCCUGACUAGAAAAGGAAGGCCAGGUUAGUAAAACAAUAGGGGGAUAGUUUCAUAUCUGAAGGCCAAACUAGAAAAGAAGGAUUUACAGCGGAUGUCAUAUCUGAAGGCAGUGAUCAUUUUAGAAAAAAGCAAGGAAUCAUUGGAUUAUAGAAGCUUGGAAAUGAAAUGUUGAAUUGAAAUUGGAAAUUGAAAUUGAAAUGUGUAGCAGAAAAGAAGGAA